GGGCAAAUGCUUGAAUAUCAGCCCUGCGCACAACCAAAGCCUUUGCUCUCUUGUCAGCAAUCCAUUCACAGAUGACAUCUUCCAGCUCAAGAUAUAAUGGCUGGCGACCUGAUCCACACUUGCGCUUCUUAGCAUUUCCCUCGUCCACCUUUUGACUGAGGUUACCAUACUCUGCUCGACAUUUUCGGACCAUUCGGAGAUCUAACUUCAUUUCUUUGCAGAAAGUGGUCAGAUUCUUGCCGUGGGAGUCCUCCACGAUUCCUUUCUUGUACUCGACAGAAUAGCUCUUUCUCUU